UAAAGGGUUGCCGUCCGCGUACUGUUAAUACCGAGACGGCAUGAAAUGCUAGUCCGCUCGCCGAGCGGGCGACACUGCCAAAUUGCGGGGACACCUUAAAGCCUUUGACACCAAGCCGUCGCCGAAAGGCGGCGGUGGCCGAGCUAACAGCCCUGGGUAUGGUAACAGUUCAAAGGAUGACCCGCCCAGCGAUGGGCGGCGAAAUAGGCGAUCCGCAGCCAAGUCCUACGGGCCCGUCCGCGGGCUACGGACGCUGUUCACAGGCCAAAUGGUAGUGGGUGGGACCGCCGCGUCCUGCUUAAGAUAUGGUCGGGCCCCCGGAGAGAUCCGGGGGGCAAUUCGCCGCUGCCCCCUCCACCGUUCCGUAGGUGAACCUGCGGAAGGAUCAUUC
rnacentral:ncRNA from 1 species